AUGCCAUCAUCAAGGCACUACCAUUCUGGUAGAAUUUACUCACCAACUGGUUCAUCUGAUCAGUGGACUGGCACAUCAGGGCAAUGGUUUUCAAGAGAUGUGAACGUCCAGAUAUACGCUCUGAGUAGUGGGCCGGAAGAUGCCACAUCAUUCCCAAUACUAUGCUGUCUCUAACACAACUGAAAUGGGGUGCACCACAGAGCAGGCAGGAAAAUCACUGCUCAGGCAUGGACGCCAAUGUCUACUCCUGGAAAUCCGCUUCUGCUCACUCCAGAAAGCACCGGAGGUGUGACGAGAGCAACCCUCAUUGCUGUGCAUCCCCUGGCAGGAAACACACGCUCAGGUGCAUUUGUUCGUCCGUUUUCUUUGAAAUGCUGUGGAAAGCAGUGUACAGCAGUCCUAGCAAAAGGAGAAUUCAGAAAUGAGAAGACGGAGGAGAUUUUGCCCUUCUUCACCCAUGAAGGAUCCUAAUGAUGCCCACAUUCCAGCCAAGAAAGAAGAUCACCAAAUUAUCAGAAAAAUCUUCUCUGGAUUCUUCUGAAGAGCUAAGUGAACACCGCAGUGGAUUUCAGCCACCGUCCCACACCUACAAGAUGUCAAAAGCGCCAAAUCCCAGAGCCUAAUGGGACCUCUGCAGUAGCCAACAUCCCAUAUGCAUAAAAGAACCUUAUAUAGUAGUAUCUCCCCAGCAAAGGGACUGUUCUUGGAAGCCAAACCAUGCUGCUUCUAGAUCCGUAUCCAUUAUCAGCAGUAGAGGAGACAGAGACAGUGCUAGGAGGAGGAAGGACUUAGAGAAAAAGGAGGAGAGCAAUAGAGAAAGGCAUCUGAGUUCCUGUUUAUACCAGUUAUCAGUGAACUUAAUAUACCAAUGAAUUUAAAAUGCACUCGGGGGAAGUUUCCCAUAAAUAGGUUAACUGCAAAAAUAUUCCCACAAGUAGUCAGACUGCCUCCUCUGAGGACAGUGCCUUCAGAAACACUCUUUUUCUGACUAACUUUAGAAACUCUAAAUGCCAGCAACUCUAGCCUGCGGGUCUUCCCCAAGGCCUUCUUACUCUCUUUAGCAUCCUUGAUAAAUAUUUAAAGAACGCUUUCUUAACCUUUCUCUUUGGCUUCUGCAUUCUUGAUACCUUAAUUCUGAAUUGAAAAAGAUCUCUGGUCUAGGACAAUCUUUCUGCCCGUGAGCGUUUGUAACAGAAAGCUCUCCAAGCUAUGCCCAUGGCUUUGCGUUUCCUGGGAAAGGAGGGAGAAAGGAAAAGCAAAUGUUUCAUUCAUCAGUGUCUAAAAGGCCCAACCUGAGCCUCUCAGGAUCUCUGCCUCUUCCAGGGCAAGUCUGCUUGGCCCCAGAGGGAUCUGUCUCCCUCCAACCAGAUGAGAUGCACGGAAUCUAUGGUCCACCAGACAGUACUUAAGGAUGCUGCCUUGCCCAACCUGUGAACAAGCCUCUCUCCAAAACUUUCCUCUCUUGAAUAAAAGUGUGUCAAUGAAUUGUGCAGCCACCAUUCAACUUGGGGCUCCUGAGGGACCAAGUGUCCAGUGAACACUUUGAGAUUUGGUUUGCUGAGAAAUGCCAGAUUCUAAG
ensembl:lncRNA